rnacentral:rRNA from 1 species
UUAAGCGACUAAGCGUACACGGUGGAUGCCCUGGCAGUCAGAGGCGAUGAAGGACGUGCUAAUCUGCGAUAAGCGUCGGUAAGGUGAUAUGAACCGUUAUAACCGGCGAUUUCCGAAUGGGGAAACCCAGUGUGUUUCGACACACUAUCAUUAACUGAAUCCAUAGGUUAAUGAGGCGAACCGGGGGAACUGAAACAUCUAAGUACCCCGAGGAAAAGAAAUCAACCGAGAUUCCCCCAGUAGCGGCGAGCGAACGGGGAGCAGCCCAGAGCCUGAAUCAGUGUGUGUGUUAGUGGAAGCGUCUGGAAAGGCGCGCGAUACAGGGUGACAGCCCCGUACACAAAAUGCACAUGCUGUGAGCUCGAUGAGUAGGGCGGGACACGUGGUAUCCUGUCUGAAUAUGGGGACCAUCCUCCAAGGCUAAAUACUCCUGACUGACCGAUAGUGAACCAGUACCGUGAGGGAAAGGCGAAAAGAACCCCGGCGAGGGAGUGAAAAGAACCUGAAACCGUGUACGUACAAGCAGUGGGAGCACGCUUAGGCGUGUGACUGCGUACCUUUUGUAUAAUGGGUCAGCGACUUAUAUUCUGUAGCAAGGUUAACCGAAUAGGGGAGCCGAAGGGAAACCGAGUCUUAACUGGGCGUUAAGUUGCAGGGUAUAGACCCGAAACCCGGUGAUCUAGCCAUGGGCAGGUUGAAGGUUGGGUAACACUAACUGGAGGACCGAACCGACUAAUGUUGAAAAAUUAGCGGAUGACUUGUGGCUGGGGGUGAAAGGCCAAUCAAACCGGGAGAUAGCUGGUUCUCCCCGAAAGCUAUUUAGGUAGCGCCUCGUGAACUCAUCUCCGGGGGUAGAGCACUGUUUCGGCAAGGGGGUCAUCCCGACUUACCAACCCGAUGCAAACUGCGAAUACCGGAGAAUGUUAUCACGGGAGACACACGGCGGGUGCUAACGUCCGUCGUGAAGAGGGAAACAACCCAGACCGCCAGCUAAGGUCCCAAAGUCAUGGUUAAGUGGGAAACGAUGUGGGAAGGCCCAGACAGCCAGGAUGUUGGCUUAGAAGCAGCCAUCAUUUAAAGAAAGCGUAAUAGCUCACUGGUCGAGUCGGCCUGCGCGGAAGAUGUAACGGGGCUAAACCAUGCACCGAAGCUGCGGCAGCGACGCUUAUGCGUUGUUGGGUAGGGGAGCGUUCUGUAAGCCUGUGAAGGUGUACUGUGAGGUAUGCUGGAGGUAUCAGAAGUGCGAAUGCUGACAUAAGUAACGAUAAAGCGGGUGAAAAGCCCGCUCGCCGGAAGACCAAGGGUUCCUGUCCAACGUUAAUCGGGGCAGGGUGAGUCGACCCCUAAGGCGAGGCCGAAAGGCGUAGUCGAUGGGAAACAGGUUAAUAUUCCUGUACUUGGUGUUACUGCGAAGGGGGGACGGAGAAGGCUAUGUUGGCCGGGCGACGGUUGUCCCGGUUUAAGCGUGUAGGCUGGUUUUCCAGGCAAAUCCGGAAAAUCAAGGCUGAGGCGUGAUGACGAGGCACUACGGUGCUGAAGCAACAAAUGCCCUGCUUCCAGGAAAAGCCUCUAAGCAUCAGGUAACAUCAAAUCGUACCCCAAACCGACACAGGUGGUCAGGUAGAGAAUACCAAGGCGCUUGAGAGAACUCGGGUGAAGGAACUAGGCAAAAUGGUGCCGUAACUUCGGGAGAAGGCACGCUGAUAUGUAGGUGAAGCGACUUGCUCGUGGAGCUGAAAUCAGUCGAAGAUACCAGCUGGCUGCAACUGUUUAUUAAAACACAGCACUGUGCAAACACGAAAGUGGACGUAUACGGUGUGACGCCUGCCCGGUGCCGGAAGGUUAAUUGAUGGGGUUAGCCGCAAGGCGAAGCUCUUGAUCGAAGCCCCGGUAAACGGCGGCCGUAACUAUAACGGUCCUAAGGUAGCGAAAUUCCUUGUCGGGUAAGUUCCGACCUGCACGAAUGGCGUAAUGAUGGCCAGGCUGUCUCCACCCGAGACUCAGUGAAAUUGAACUCGCUGUGAAGAUGCAGUGUACCCGCGGCAAGACGGAAAGACCCCGUGAACCUUUACUAUAGCUUGACACUGAACAUUGAGCCUUGAUGUGUAGGAUAGGUGGGAGGCUUGGAAGUGUGGACGCCAGUCUGCAUGGAGCCGACCUUGAAAUACCACCCUUUAAUGUUUGAUGUUCUAACGUUGACCCGUAAUCCGGGUUGCGGACAGUGUCUGGUGGGUAGUUUGACUGGGGCGGUCUCCUCCUAAAGAGUAACGGAGGAGCACGAAGGUUGGCUAAUCCUGGUCGGACAUCAGGAGGUUAGUGCAAUGGCAUAAGCCAGCUUGACUGCGAGCGUGACGGCGCGAGCAGGUGCGAAAGCAGGUCAUAGUGAUCCGGUGGUUCUGAAUGGAAGGGCCAUCGCUCAACGGAUAAAAGGUACUCCGGGGAUAACAGGCUGAUACCGCCCAAGAGUUCAUAUCGACGGCGGUGUUUGGCACCUCGAUGUCGGCUCAUCACAUCCUGGGGCUGAAGUAGGUCCCAAGGGUAUGGCUGUUCGCCAUUUAAAGUGGUACGCGAGCUGGGUUUAGAACGUCGUGAGACAGUUCGGUCCCUAUCUGCCGUGGGCGCUGGAGAACUGAGGGGGGCUGCUCCUAGUACGAGAGGACCGGAGUGGACGCAUCACUGGUGUUCGGGUUGUCAUGCCAAUGGCACUGCCCGGUAGCUAAAUGCGGAAGAGAUAAGUGCUGAAAGCAUCUAAGCACGAAACUUGCCCCGAGAUGAGUUCUCCCUGACUCCUUGAGAGUCCUGAAGGAACGUUGAAGACGACGACGUUGAUAGGCCGGGUGUGUAAGCGCAGCGAUGCGUUGAGCUAACCGGUACUAAUGAACCGUGAGGCUUAACCU